GCCAGCAUGGUGUAGUGGCUUGACCUUUGGACUAUGACUCUGGAGAACAGGGUUCGAAUCCCAGUUCAGCCA